rnacentral:tRNA from 1 species
CAAAGAGUAGUUUAACUAAGAAUUCUGGCUUUGGGAGCCAGGGGUGGGAGUUAAAAUCUCCUUUCUUUGAG